rnacentral:rRNA from 1 species
ACGNCUUAGAGUUUGAUCAUGGCUCAGGAUGAGCGCUGGCGGCGUGCCUAACACAUGCGAGUCGAGCGAAGCACUUUACUUUGAGAUCUUCGGAAGGAUAAGUUUUGUGACUGAGCGGCGGACGGGUGAGUAACGCGUGGGUAACCUGCCUCAUACAGGGGGAUAACAGUUAGAAAUGACUGCUAAUACCGCAUAAGACCACAGCACCGCAUGGUGCAGGGGUAAAAACUCCGGUGGUAUGAGAUGGACCCGCGUCUGAUUAGCUAGUUGGUAAGGUAACGGCUUACCAAGGCAACGAUCAGUAGCCGACCUGAGAGGGUGACCGGCCACAUUGGGACUGAGACACGGCCCAAACUCCUACGGGAGGCAGCAGUGGGGAAUAUUGCACAAUGGGGGAAACCCUGAUGCAGCGACGCCGCGUGAGCGAAGAAGUAUUUCGGUAUGUAAAGCUCUAUCAGCAGGGAAGAAACUGACGGUACCUGACUAAGAAGCACCGGCUAAAUACGUGCCAGCAGCCGCGGUAAUACGUAUGGUGCAAGCGUUAUCCGGAUUUACUGGGUGUAAAGGGAGCGUAGACGGAUAGGCAAGUCUGGAGUGAAAGCCCGGGGCUCAACCCCGGGACUGCUUUGGAAACUGUUUAUCUAGAGUGCUGGAGAGGUAAGUGC